rnacentral:ncRNA from 2 species
CAUAACUAUAGAGGAGCUUAAAGCAAGAGUAGAUGAUCUAUAACAGGCAUGUGAUCAUUGAAAGGGUAUUUAAGCCGAAACCUAAACAAUAGGCAUGUUGUUAGGUUGGUAGUAAUUCAUAACAGUUUACUACUCUUGGAUUUAAAUCCUUGGAGCUAUAGCUAUA